GCCAUUGGAAGCAUAGUGCUCCCCGGCUCCUACUUCCAUGUUUAUUUUUAUUUAUUUAUUUUUUUUGCUGCUUUCAAGACCAGGCCAGGCCAUCUAUAAUUGUUAUUUGUAAGCCGUCUUGAUUUAGGGAAGGAGGUAAGACAUCUUUAUUUUCCCUUUUUUAUUUUCAUGUAUUAUUUUAUACGCUGAUAAAAGGUAAAGGGACCCCUGACCAUUAGGUCCAGUUGUGACCGACUCUGAGGUUGCAGUGCUCAUCUCGCUUUACUGGCUGAGGGAGCUGGCGUUUGUCCGCAGACAGCUUCCGGGUCAUAUGGCCAGCAUGACUAAGCCACUUCUGGCAAACCAGAGCAGUGCACGGAAACGCCGUUUACAUUCCCUCCGAAGUGGUACCUAUUUAUCUACUUGCACUUUGACAUGCUUUCGAACUGCUAGGUUGGCAGGAGCUGGGACCGAGCAACGGGAGCUCACCCCGUUGCGGGGAUUCUAACCGCCGACCUUCUGAUCGGCAAGUCCUAGGCUCUGUGGUUUAACCAACAGCGCCACCCGCGUCCCUUUUACCCUUUUUUUAAGGUAUACGCUGAUACCUUAUCUUUAAUGUCGGUCCUUGUAAACAGCCCUGGAAAUAUCACUGCUCUAGUGGCAUGGUACUUAUAUAGUAGAUAUAUUAAUAUGCAAAUAAUAAUAAUUAAUAAUUUCUUAUUGCUGCUGAAAGGAAUCCAAGUUGGAUGGGGCAAUAAACACAAUUUUUACCUUUGUGCAGUAGGCUAGUUCCUUCACACAUUCAUUCCGCCCACCAUCUAAGCAAGCACGACACAAAUUUAUCAGUGCUCAAGGACAAAUUCCAGCCAGGCAAGAACACCCAAGGAAGGUACAAAUCAGGGCUGCUGAGGGGUGCAGCUCAAGAAGGUGUGCGGCCUGAGGAAAGGGUUAAGACUUUUGAGAGCAGCAUUUGGGCACUGGGCGUCAGGUUCCCCGUCUCUGAUAUACACCCUUGACUGCAAGCCCCAUUGAACUCAGUGGGGCUUAUUUUAAUUUUAAGAAUUGAUUUUUUAUUAAGUUUCAAAAAUUUUAACAGAUUUACUUCACAGACAGUAUACCAUUUGCAUAUAUUUUUCUUUUUUACUUCCCACCCUUCCCUCACUGAUGCUUUUGCUUUUAUCCUUGGUUGCUGCAUUAUUGUUGUUGUUGAUAUUUAGUCGUUUAGUCGUGUCUGACUCUUCGUGACCCCAUGGAUCAGAGCAUGCCAGGCACUCCUGUCUUCCACUGCCUCCCGCAGUUUGGUCAAACUCAUGCUGGUAGCUUCAAGAACACUAUCCAACCAUCUCAUCCUCUGUCGUCCCCUUCUCCUUGUGCCCUCAAUCUUUCCCAACACCAGGGUCUUUUCCAGGGAGUCUUCUCUUCUCAUGAGGUGGCCAAAGUAUUAGAGCCUCAGCUUCAGGAUCUGUCCUUCCAGUGAGCACUCAGGGCUGAUUUCCUUCAGAAUGGAUAGGUUUGAUCUUCUUGCAGUCCAUGGGACUCUCAAGAGUCUCCUCCAGCACCAUAAUUCAAAAGCAUCAAUUCUUUGGCGAUCAGCCUUCUUUAUGGUCCAGCUCUCACUUCCAUACAUGACUACUGGGAGAACCAUAGCUAACUAUACGGACCUUUGUUGGCAAGGUGAUGUCUCUGCUUUUUAAGAUGCUGUCUAGGCUUGUCAUUGCUUUCCUCCCAAGAAGCAGGCGUCUUUUAAUUUUGUGACUGCUGUCACCAUCUGCAGUGAUCAUGGAUCAUUAUACUUGUUACCAAACCCUCAGUGGGGCUUAUUUCUGUGUAGGCAAUGCAUUGGAUUGUGCUGCAAGACUGCAGCCCUAAACCCACUUAUGUGGGACUUACUGUAAAGCUCAGUGUGACUUACUUCAGAGUAGGCAUGCGCAGGCUGGCUCUGUAAGUGUCAUGGCUCUUUCCAAAGAACCCUGGGAGAGGCAGUUUGAGAAUUUUAUUACAGAUCCCUAGGCAGCCCCUCAGCGAGCAGCUGUUCCCAGCAUUCCCUUGGGAAACUGAAUGACUGUUAAACCAGUUUAAAGGUGUAGAACAAAUAUGCUGGGUUCCAUUUUGCCACACAAAGUAACUAUCAAAUACCAGGCAGUAAAAUGGCACCAGGGUUUGGGGGCACUGCUUUGGGUACUGGGGCUAAAUCCUUCUAAGUUUUCUAAGAAAAGCUGACCUACAUGGAACACAGUCUUGCAAGUUUCCUCCUUUGUUUCUCCCUGUCUCAUAAACAUUUCCUUUUCUGGAAGACUUAACACCACAGUCACAAUGAAGGGGCGGGCUGUGUCACAUGCUGCUUGCUUCUUGGCGGUAUAUAUGGGAAACUGUUCCAGCCUCCUCUGGUUUAUGGGCUUUGGCUCUCUGGCCCUGCCAAGUAAUAAGCUGCUGGCCUGGGAGCUUCUGGGUGGACAGCUGCUAUGCAAGAUCAUGUCUGUUCAUCAUGGUGUGAAAGCAGAGGGGUGAGGCCUGGAAAGCUCGUGCUUAAAAGGGAGGGUUAAGAGGGUACGGAGAAGGUUCUUCCUGACUUUUUAAGUGGGAACUGCCUGAAGGAUAACUAAUUAGGCCAAGUGGGGUCUGAAGGACACGUCGUCCUGAAUGACGUCAAGAUGGGAUCCAGAUAUUUUCAUGCAAUCUUCUUUUCCUCAAAGGCCUGGGAAGCACCAAGGCCUUAAGGACUUCUGAGUCAGACUCAUUGGUCACGGGAACACUAACGUACACAGAAAAUAUAAAGAAGAAGAGUGAUGCAUACCCAGAGCAGAUUGACAUGGUUAAAAAUAAAAACAUGAAUGUUUUGAGGAUGACAUGAUUGUAUGUUGUGUUACGAUGUUAAAGGAAGAGCUACAAAGAGUAAAUCAUUCAGUGUUUGACCUGUGUGGGAUAGCGAUCUGUUCUCCUGCAACAGAAAUGAUAUAUUUAUCAGAGUUUUUUUUUUGGGGGGGGGGUUAUAGGGCCAUAUUUGAGGGAGGAAGUGCUAUUGCACAUGAAUUUGUUGUCAUGGAAGGCUUGGAAGCUUUUACAUCCAAAUUUCUUCCUGGAUUUUGGAGUUCCUGGAGUUAUCUGGGCAGGCAUCGGUAUGCAUCCUGCACUAUCCUUUAUCCUCCAGACAAACUAUUUAGCAUUCAUUCUGAUUUGCUUUCAUGAGGCUUGUGUUAGACUAUGUCCGAUCUUUAUUGAACAUUUCUUCUGAUACACUUAUGAGGUGCUCACAUGACAAUGAGAAUUCGUCCUGAUAUGCUUGCAGGCUGCUGAUCACUUAUUCCUAUUAAUCAUUCAUUCAUCAAAUACUUUUAAAUUCGUUUCCAUGUCACCUGCCAAAAAAGAUGAAUUUCAGAGAUGAAUUUCGGUGUUUGUUUACUUUGGUGGCAGAGUGCAAUACAGUGGUAUUUAAUAUGUUCUGGAGGUCCGUUCUUAACCUGAAACUGUUCUUAACCUGAAGCACCACUUUAGCUAAUGGGGCCUCCCACUGCCGCCGUGCCGCUGCUGCGCGAUUUCUGUUCUCAUCUUGAAGCAAAGUUCUUAACCCGAGGUACUAAUUCUGGGUUAGCUGAGUCUGUAACCUGAAGCGUCUGUACCCCGAGGUACCACUGCAUGUGCUUGAUUGUCUUUUGCAAAGUACUGACUGUCAAAGUACAGCCACCCCAAGACAAUCACAAUGCCUUGGCUCUGGGUUAUUUUAAAAGCUUGGACUAUCCACACUUAACAAAAACAUAUACUUGGCCAUGUUACACCCGUGUUUUGAUACGUAUUUUUGAAAAAUAACAUGUAUGGUGAAACUCACUUUAGAAGCAGUCCUCGAUAGACUGACUUUAACUAGAUAAUCAAGUUCCACAUUUAGGUUUGAGAGUAUUUUGUUCCUUAAAGAAAGCCAGAAUGAGAAAGUUAAUGUAUUCCAUGAGGUAUAUACAUGUACAUUUAGAAAUGCCUGGGCAAACUGGACUGAGUCAAACACAUAAUAAGGGUGAGGUUUGUGGUGUGUAAUUAUAGACUUCUUUGGCUGUGUAAAACUCUCAGACACUGAAGACUAAUGGCUCACAAGACAUCCCAUUAAAUGUAUUGUACUUGUGUGCAAACACUGCAGAACAUCCCCUGCCCAGCUAUUCAGCUUCCAUGUAGUAGGGGGCAGAGGGAGAUAGCUCCCUUUGGCAAAAACGAAAAUUCUCUAUGCCAGGGUUAUCCAACCUGGUGCCCUCUGUGUGUUGUUGAACUCCAACUCCCAUCCAGGCCAACCCAUCAUGGACAUGGUAGAGUUCCCCUCAUCAGUUCUCCUCUCCGUACCACCCUAACCACCACCACCCAAAGGCAAAAAUAUCAGGGCACAGUUAUGACUACAGCCUCAGAUUUACAUGGGUGUAAAUCCCACUGAGCUGUCAGUAGACUCCACAGGAUUCUGCUGUUGCAUUAAGAAUUUUACUGUGUAGUAAAAUUGUGUACAAUGCAAAGGGAAAAGGGCCUCAUUGUUUCCCCACGAGUUGCCAAAUUGCCUUCUAAAUUUGCAGGUCUCAAAUUUAUUUAUUUAAUUUCUAUACCGCUUUAUGAUUUUAAGAAAAAUCUCAAAGCAGUUUACAGUAUAUUAAAUCAGUUAAACAAUGCGAAGAAAGUCAAAUAUAGCGUAUACAGUCAAAGCAACAUAACAGAAUACUAAAAUAUUAUCUUAAAGAUUUCAAAAUAAAACAAAUGCAGUGGUGGCGAUGCAGUGAGGAAGGGAUUUUGCCUCAACACUAAUGUUAAUUAAUUUUGUUCUUUAUAAUUAUUGCGCUCCUUCGUAAAUCACUGUCUUGCCGUGGCGAAGGGGCUUGAAUAACUCAGAGAAGCUAUGAGCUAUGCUGUGCAGGGCCACCCAAGAUGGACAGGUCAUAGCAGAGAGUUUUGACCAAACGUGAUCCACCUGGAGUAGGACUCGGUAAGCCACUCCAGUAUCCCUGCCAAGAAAACUCCAUGGACAAAGAAAACAGGCAUAUAAAAGUUAUGAUGCUGGAAGAUGAGCCCCUCAGGUCGGAAGGCGUCCAACAUGCUACUGAGGAAGAGCGGAGGACAAGUACAAGUAGAUUCAGAGCUGAUGAAGCGGCUGGGCCAAAGCCGAAAGGUCGCUCAGUUGCAGAUAUGCCUGGAAGCGAAAGGAAAGUCCAAUGCUGUAAAGAAAAAUAUUGCAUAGGAACCUGGAAUGUAAGAACCAUGGACCUUGGUAAGAGAAGACUCCCUGGAAAAGACCCUAAUGUUGGGAAAGAUUGAGGGCACAAGGGGACGACAAAGGAUGAGAUGGUUGGAUAGUGUUCUUGAAGCUACCAGCAUGAGUUUGACUAAAACUGUGGGAGGCAGUGGAAGACAGGAGUGCCUGGCAUGCUCUGGUCCAUGGGGUCACGAAGAGUCAGACACGACUAAACGACUAAACAACCAUGACAUAAUUAUUAUGCUUUGUGGGCUAUUGAAAGAGAAGGCAAUUGAGGGGCAAUGCUAGAGAAUGAGAGACUAUUUGCUGAAAUGUACCGAAACUGGGUAAGCAGUUCUCAGCACUGCUGAAAAUGUUCAUUUAAAAACUGAAUAGUUUUAUCUCAGAUGAGAUGAAAACACUAUAUCUAAUCUCUGUAGUUGAUUAUCACCCACUCAGUGCUCACCUGAUGGUCGGAGCAUCCUGUUCUAUGGGGUCUUGCUGAUAGUGAUCAAAGGCUAUGCCCAUAUGCCAGAGCCAAAUGUGUACACCAAAUUCUCUUGGGGGUGUUGACCUCCAAUGAGCCAUAUUCAGAAGUAUUACUUGGUAAGGCACGCUAUAGACACAGAUCUGGGAUUACAUUAUCUUUUUGUUGUGCUGCCUUUUUCUGCAGGACUAUACAAAGUCCUCUUAGAUCAAGGAUGACACACAGCCCUCAGUGAAAUCUCAUGCAGCCCUUGGCUUAAUGUUGAAAGACCUCUGCUAUCACCUAGUUCAGACUUUUUGGAAGAGUGAUCAACCAUCUCCUGGCAGUCCACUUCACAACAAGUAGGAGAGAGAGCAGGGCCGGAUUUAGGUUUGAUGAGGCCCUAAGCUACUGAAGGUAAAGGGGCCCUUUAUAUGUUUAGCUGUCCUUUGUCAACAACAAAUUGUUGCUGUUUUUUGUGUUGAAUAUAUGCUAUAUGGUAAUCUAUGGACCUAAUAGGUAUCUAAAGCCAUUUUAUUUGUUUUUUAUCUUAUAUUUUUGAAAUGUACAUCCAGGUUUUUUUUCUUUAAAUUUUUUGGGGGCCCCCAAAAGAGUGGGGCCCUAAGUUAUAGCUUGUUUAGCUUAUAUGUAAAUUCGGCCUGGGAGAGAGAGAAUGGGGUGGCUGCCUGUGCCCACUUUUUUGACUCUGACCCUAUGCACCCCCAGCAUGUAGACCCCAACAGAUGACAUCGCAGGAAAUUUUGCCUUCUCCAGGUAGUAAUGGUUGCCUAUCCCUUUCGUAGAUCACUGACACACAGAACAUCAAAGCAUUUGGUAUAACUUUGAG